CAGCCGCCGCGGUAAUGCGUAGGCAGCAAGCGUUGUUCGGAGUUACUGGGCGUAAAGGGUGUGUAGGCGGUUCUCUAAGUUUGAUGUGAAAUCUCCCGGCUCAACCGGGAGGGUGCGCCGAAAACUGGGGAGCUAGAGUAUGGGAUGGAAAGUGGAAUUCCUGGUGUAGCGGUGAAAUGCUUAGAUAUCAGGAGGAACACCGGUGGUGUAGACGGCUUUCUGGACCAUAACUGACGCUGAGACACGAAAGCGUGGGUAGCAAACAGGAUUAGAUACCCCUGUAGUCCCUGUCUCUUAUACA
rnacentral:rRNA from 1 species